UACGGGGGGAGCAAGCGUUGUUCGGAUUUACUGGGCGUAAAGGGCGGGUAGGCGGCCACCGCAAGUCAGUUGUGAAAUCUCUGGGCUUAACCCAGAAAGGUCAACUGAUACUGCGGGGCUAGAGUGCAGAAGGGGCAACUAGAAUUCUCGGUGUAGCGGUGAAAUGCGUAGAUAUCUGGAGGAAUACCGGUGGCGAAGGCGGCAUCCUGGACCGACAUUGACGCUGAGGAGCGAAAGCCAGGGGAGCAAACGGG
rnacentral:rRNA from 1 species